UACGUAGGGUGCGAGCGUUGUCCGGAAUUAUUGGGGCGUAAAGAGCUCGUAGGCGGCCUGUUGCGUCGGUUGUGAAAGCCCCGGGGGCUUAACCCCCGGGUCUGCAGUCGAUACGGGGCAGGCUAGAGUUCGGUAGGGGGAGAUCGGAAUUCCUGGUGUAGCGGUGAAAUGCGCAGAUAUCAGGAGGAACACCGGUGGCGAAGGCGGAUCUCUGGGCCGAUACUGACGCUGAGGAGCGAAAGCGUGGGGGAGCGAACAGG
rnacentral:rRNA from 1 species